AUUGAACGCUGGCGGCAGGCCUAACACAUGCAAGUCGAACGAGUGGCGGACGGGUGAGUAAUGUCUGGGAAACUGCCUGAUGGAGGGGGAUAACUACUGGAAACGGUAGCUAAUACCGCAUACCAUCGGAUGUGCCCAGAUGGGAUUAGCUUGUUGGUGGGGUAACGGCUCACCAAGGCGACGAUCCCUAGCUGGUCUGAGAGGAUGACCAGCCACACUGGAACUGAGAAACGGUCCAGACUCCGACGGGAGGAAGCAGUGGGGAAUAUGGAACAAUGGGCGCAAGCCUGAUGCAGCCAUGCCGCGUGUAUGAAGAAGGCCUUCGGGUUGUAAAGUACUUUAAGCGGGGAGGCGUUACCCGCAGAAGAAGCACAGGCUAACGCCGUGCCAGCCGCCGCGGUAAUAC
rnacentral:rRNA from 1 species